rnacentral:precursor_RNA from 14 species
GGCAGUAAGUGGGUGCCCAGGCCGCCUGACACUCUUUCCCUGUUGCACUACUGUGGCAGUGAAUAAAGCAGUGCAAUGAUGAAAGGGCAUCAGUCUGCAGCUGAUCUAAGCACCGUGCCC